ACCAAAAAUCAGAAAUUCGAGAAUUCGUGGUGUCAAGAUCUCUGGUGAUGAGUCCCGUGUUGCACCUGAUGUGGGGGGGUUAAUCCUCCACAAGGUGCUAGUGUUGAGGUCCAGCAUGUGGUUGGAGGUGCUGCCCUGCCUAUGGUUGGUCUUGAGGCUCAAGGUGGAGAAUUUGCAGACGUAUAUUGAGGAGGCCCUGUUGAGGACUCAGAAGAUGAGUUGGGAGUUGUUCUUUCCCCAACUAAAUGAAAGCUUCAAUGUAGGCCGCAUUGGGAUCGGUAUCUGUCAUGACAUACGCUUCCCAGAGCUUGCUAUGUUGUACAGAGCAAAACGUUCUUAUAUUAUAUCCGUUUUGAAUGUGGCACUACUGAGCUUGAAAUAUACAUAAUCCCGAAAUGAGCUACUAUGUAUGCAAUGCCAGGUGCUGACUUGAUUAUUUAUCCUGGUGCAUUCAACAUGAGCACUGGAAAAAUGCUCUGGGAACUAGAAACAAAAGCCAG